UACGUAGGGUCCGAGCGUUGUCCGGAAUUAUUGGGCGUAAAGGGCGCGUAGGCGGCUUGGCAAGUGGAAGGUGAAAUCCCUCGGCUUAACCGAGGAACUGCCCUCCAAACUGCUUCGCUUGAGACCGGGAGAGGUGAGUGGAAUUCCCAGUGUAGCGGUGAAAUGCGUAGAUAUUGGGAGGAACACCAGUGGCGAAGGCGGCUCACUGGACCGGUACUGACGCUGAAGCGCGAAAGCGUGGGGAGCAAACGGG
rnacentral:rRNA from 1 species